rnacentral:rRNA from 1 species
UACGUAGGGACCGAGCGUUGUCCGGAAUCAUUGGGCGUAAAGAGCGUGUAGGCGGCCUUUUAAGUCCUGCGUGAAAUCCUGCGGCUCAACCGCAGACGGUCGUGGGAAACUGGAAGGCUAGAGUGCGGGAGAGGAGAGUGGAAUUCCCGGUGUAGCGGUGAAAUGCGCAGAUAUCGGGAAGAACACCCGUGGCGAAGGCGGCUCUCUGGAACGCAACUGACGCUGAGACGCGAAAGCUAGGGUAGCAAACGGG